rnacentral:lncRNA from 1 species
UAAAAACUCAGUCAUGGGAGAAAAUGUAUUCUUUGAUUGUGUUGAAUACUGAAAAGAGUUUGUGGUAGAGCAACUAUGGGGUAAAAACUUGUUCUAACCGGAACCGCUGAAUUACAUCCAGCCUUGGGCUCUGGAGUUCAUAGUUGCUCAACGAAGCUAACCCAGCUGAAGGAAGGGGGCUUUGAAUCCUAUAGCCUACUUCUCCUUUUGAGUUUUGUCUUUCGAAU